GCUGUAUUGUGUGCAUAGUUUUCAUCUGUGUCAGGUAGCAGUGUCUGUUUGUGUUCUGCAUUCGGAUCUCGCUAUUCACACAAACAUCAGGCAGCCAAAGAGUAAACUUGGGAUCAUAGUACUGGUCAAGUGUUUGUCUCUUGGGACAUGACUCCCACUGGCCAGCCUCCAAUUUCCCAUACACUA